GAAUCUUGCUGUUCUAUGCUUUUUAUGUGUUGAUAAUUGAGUAACACUUUUAUUUUUUGAACAGGUCAGUACGUCAGAGCUGUCUUUCUACAUUUAUGCUUCGUACUUCCUAGAAAUUUCAUGAUCUUCCUAUGCAUGCAGGUAUAUUGAGAUGAUUUCUUUGGAGCAAUUCUUGACAACAUUUGUAGUUGAGGCCUUUAGAAUGGAAGAAUGUAUUUCACUAAUUUUUGUAUACAUUUCUUGUUUUGUAUUUAGUGAUUAAGGAAUCUAAAUUGGGCAUAAAUUAUGUUGUAAUAUGAUUUCUUAAGCCUAGACUAGUAGACUAAAUAUUGUAAUUACAUUUUGAGUAAUUAAUAAAAAUCUAUUUAUGUUA